GAUGAACGCUGGCGGCGUGCUUAACACAUGCAAGUCGAGCGGAGCGGCGAACGGGUGAGUCACGCGUGAGUAACUGCCCCCCUCUCUGGGAUAACAGUUGGAAACGGCUGCUCAUACCGGCUAGUGGGGGAUGACUCGCGUCCUAUCAGCUUGUUGGUGGGGUAGUGGCCUACCAAGGCGACGACGGGUAGCCGGCCUGAGAGGGCGACCGGCCACAUUGGGCUGUGAGACGGCCCAAACUCCUACGGGAGGCAGCAGUGGGGAAUAUUGCACAAGGGGGGAAACCCAGAAGCAGCAACGCCGGGUGCGGGAUGACGGCCGUCGGGUUGUAAACCGCGGUCAGCCAGGACGCGGUAGUGGCGGAAGAAGCACCGGCUAACUACGUGCCAGCAGCCGCGGUAAUAC
rnacentral:rRNA from 1 species